rnacentral:rRNA from 1 species
AUUGAACGCUGGCGGCAGGCCUAACACAUGCAAGUCGAGCGGAUGAGGGGAGCUUGCUCCCUGAUUUAGCGGCGGACGGGUGAGUAAUGCCUAGGAAUCUGCCUGGUAGUGGGGGAUAACGUUCCGAAAGGAACGCUAAUACCGCAUACGUCCUACGGGAGAAAGCAGGGGACCUUCGGGCCUUGCGCUAUCAGAUGAGCCUAGGUCGGAUUAGCUAGUUGGUGAGGUAAUGGCUCACCAAGGCGACGAUCCGUAACUGGUCUGAGAGGAUGAUCAGUCACACUGGAACUGAGACACGGUCCAGACUCCUACGGGAGGCAGCAGUGGGGAAUAUUGGACAAUGGGCGAAAGCCUGAUCCAGCCAUGCCGCGUGUGUGAAGAAGGUCUUCGGAUUGUAAAGCACUUUAAGUUGGGAGGAAGGGCUGCUGGUUAAUACCCCGCAGUUUUGACGUUACCAACAGAAUAAGCACCGGCUAACUUCGUG